rnacentral:lncRNA from 1 species
AGGAAAGAGUGAGGCUAUGACUGCGCAGAGGAGGCUGUCUGAGGCUGAGUAGCCCUUAUCUGAAAUGCCUGGGUCCAGCCACAGCAGACAAAGCCUGAAUCCCGUAGCCACUGCAGACAAAGUCGGAAGCCAAUUCUAUACAGUAGUGUUAUGGUAUCUGUAUUUGGACUUCAACCUGCCACAAGAGGUCAGAAGAGGAAUUUUCCAAGGAGGGAGUUCUACUGGCUUCUAGUGAGUGUCAGAUUUCAGACUUUUAGAUUCAGGAAGCCAGGUUAGCAAGUAGAUGCUCUUUGAUCUUGCAAAGCUGAUCUCUCAAAACUGAGCUUCAACACAAGAGAAUCGAAGCAAACCCUUCAUGGAAAGAAUGGACUAACCACGAAUCCACAAACCCCAUAUAAGACUGAUAAAUACCCAGCAUACCCCGCCCCCCAUUUAGCUCACUAACAUAACUACAACAUCCAGUGGCUACAACUGAAUGGGUAGAUUGGAUUGCACAGAGACGUGAAUGGACACUUUCAGCUAACAGCUAUGACAGGGAAGAUGGAAAUCAAAAGCCAAAGUUCCACUUGCCAUCCAGGGGGUCUGAUGGAGCCAAAUCAAUAGAGGUCUCUACUGCACUCAGCCACCAAAGUCAGAGGUAAUCAGGAGCGCAUCAGGAGCAAGCUCUUGAGAAGAGCUUGACUGCCUAUCUUGGAAAGGAAAGUGCUGAAUCCACCUCACAAACGUGCACAGGGUCAAGUGCCGGCACAAGAACUCUGACAACUGCCAAGCAGUAUACAGAUGCAAGGUACUGUUACAGCUCACUGAUGAAUAAACUUUCCUCUUUUC